CGGACGGGUGAGUAACGCGUGGAAAACCUGCCGUAUACUGGGGGAUAACACUUAGAAAUAGGUGCUAAUACCGCAUAAGCGCAUAGCUUCGCAUGAAGCGGUGUGAAAAACUCUGGUGGUAUACGAUGGUUCCGCGUCUGAUUAGCUAGUUGGUGGGGUAAUGGCCUACCAAGGCAACGAUCAGUAGCCGGCCUGAGAGGGUGAACGGCCACAUUGGGACUGAGACACGGCCCAAACUCCUACGGGAGGCAGCAG
rnacentral:rRNA from 1 species